UUGUGUUUGAACUUGGGACGGUUGAGGAUUGCAUCAUCAUUGUCGGCAGAGAUUUUCUCAGUGUUUUUGGUCAUUUUUCGACAAAUGGACUACUACAACGGAUCCUUGGAAGGACGAUGGAUGUUUUACAAGGCUUGCACCGCGUCCCGCCCUGAUCUUCUGUUUUGAUGUCCUGGUCGGGAAUAGCUGCCUGUACGCGAUGGCCAUCCGGAUUUCAAGCCUGGACAACUAAACAAAACUUCUCCCGUCUCCGGUGUAUCCAGGGUUAUCAUCUGCUGUUUUGUUUCCAUUUUCAACUGACAAUGAGUGCCGACAGUACAUAAAUGGGACUGGACUCAGGAGACGAAAAGCAACAUGACAAGAUACAUAGUAUAGUGCUGCUGGACGAUGACAUGAGUGUUGGGAGAUAAAGUGGUAAUUCUGUGUGUGUUCCAUGGUUAUUUUUUGUGUUAAAUUUUGUGUAUGUCUUCAAAAUUAAUUUUGACUCAAAAUUUCAAUAUAUUAUUCAUUUUUUGUACUAAUGUUUGCAACAGUUGAAUUCCUAAACAGAUUUAUGUGAAUAGUAUACAGUAUGUUUGCGGCAUAUUUUAAAUUAAAGCAAUUUUCUAGACAGUUAAUUGUGGCAACUAAAAUUUUUAAUCUAUUACUUUGACAAUUAUCAUAGGCUUAAAAUCAACCAUCUCAAAUGCCUUAAGUAUCUUAAGUCAAUUACAGCUGAUGGUGCCAUUGUAUAAUUCCUAUUUUAAUUCCUUUAAGGAAUUAAUCUUGCUGCAGUGCAUUAUGGACUAAAAAUAAUUCAUUUUACUGUGCUGGAAACAGUGGAAACCAAAAUAAGUUCAGCAAAUCACCGUUCAAUUUUUAUAAUUAUUUGUUCUGUUGCUGCAUUGCCUACAUAUACAUAAUCAAUGUGAUAAUUUUAACUAUUAGUCUCAUUUUUGUACUGUGCAGUUCUCCGCGGUCUAUUGUACGCUAUUUUUUGGGGUUGAAAAUUGUUAUUUUCAUUUGUAUAUUAUAUUAUAUUAUUUGCUUAUUCUGUUAAUGAAAGGUGCAAUGUAACUUGACUGCAUUUAGGUAUCACCUUGGAAUUUUCACAGCCAAACCUAGUUUUUUAUUCUGAACAACUUUUAACUUUAUAAAACUUGCAAGUCUUUCUCGACCUUUUUUUGGAAAAUUCAAUAUUAGUGGAUGUUAGUCCCCAUUGAUAUUUUUUCAGGAUUCAAGACUAAAUUGUAUCCCGUGAAUAUCUGCACAAGCACACCAGGUUUCAGAGGUGCAACAAUAGUUUUGCCAGUUUUGCUUUAAUUUGAAUUUGAAAAUUCAUAUCCGGCUUGAGGCUGCUCGACCGAGCAUGGCCUUUACUUACCGAGGUCACCGAUCAUUAGUCGAGAAUAUUUUUACUUCUUACCAUUUGAUUAGACACACCAAGAGGGCCCAGGGUAGACACAAUAAGGUCAAAAUCGACCUUCAGGGUCUGUACCUAACGAGACCCUGAGAUUAAAAUUUCAAAUUUCAUCGAACUUGGAAUCUUUUCGUAGGUUUUCGCCGCUUUACAGCUCAAAUAUAAAGCCAAAACUGCCGAAUGACAUUCCUGAAACCGGUUCUCAAAAUAACUGUGGAAGCCAUUAAUCCUGACGUGAUGUUAAAUGUUGAUAAAAUUCAAAAUCGGCAGUUUUGACUUUGUAUUAGAGCUGCACAGCGGUGAUAGCCUAUGGAAAGACACUAAGUUCGAUGAAAUUGAUUUUUUUAAAUUUUUAUCUCAGGGUCUCGUCAGGUACAGACCCUGAAUAUCGAUUUCGACCUUUAUGUAUGUCUAUACUGGGCCCUCUUGUUGUGUCUAAUCAAAUGGAAUGGGUAAAAAUAUUAUCAACGAAUGAUCGGCGAACUCGCCGACUAAAGGCCAUGCUCGAUCGAGCGGCCUCGAGCAGGUUUUUAAUUUUCAAAUUAAAAUUGCAGCAAAACUAUUGUUGAACCUUUGAAACUUGGUGAGCUUGAGCAGAAUUUCAAUAGGGCUCUAUUUCAGCCCUGAAUCCCAAAAAAUCUAAGGGUUCUAUCAUCCCUUAAUUUUGAAUUUUCGAAAAAGGUCGUGAAAGGUGACCUUGACCUACAACUUGCGAAUAUUUUGUUCACUGAAUAUUUGUUCAGAAUCGAAAACUAGGCUGUAAAGUGAAUAUUUCAAGGUGAUGCCUCAACGCAAUCAAGAGUUAUAAUCCGCCUUUGAAUUUCUGAUUUCAUGUUCCGGAGAUUUUUAUGAAAUUGUAAUAUUAGGGAACGGAUGGUCAUAGAUGUAUUAAAUGUAUAAUUAAGUUAUUGUUACUUUGCUGUAUUGAUAUAACCAAUAAAAGUGCUGCCCAUCUGGCUGCCCACUGAGGGUGACCACCGGGCGGGCACCCAAUGGUUACCUUUUGGCUACCUCUUACCUCGGGCUGUCAUUUUGUGCUAUACUGAAAUUUAACUUUUUUAAUGGACAGAGUCAAUUGACCUGCCACCAGUGCCACCUGACAGCCCUAGAUAAAAGGUAGCCAAAAGGUAACCAAUGGCUGCCCACUGGUGGUAACCUCAGCCGGGCACCUGAUGGUUAGCUUUUGGUCAACGAA